GACGAACGCUGGCGGCGUGCUUAACACAUGCAAGUCGAACGAUGAACUUGGAGCUUGCUCUGGGGGAUUAGUGGCGAACGGGUGAGUAACACGUGAGUAACCUGCCCUGGACUCUGGGAUAACUUCGAGAAAUCGGAGCUAAUACCGGAUAGGACCUUGCACCGCAUGGUGUGGGGUGGAAAGUUUUUCGGUUUGGGGUGGACUCGCGGCCUAUCAGCUUGUUGGUGAGGUAAUGGCUCACCAAGGCGUCGACGGGUAGCCGGCCUGGGAGGGUGACCGGCCACACUGGGACUGAGACACGGCCCAGACUCCUACGGGAGGCAGCAGUGGGGAAUAUUGCACAAUGGGCGCAAGCCUGAUGCAGCAACGCCGCGUGCGGGAUGACGGCCUUCGGGUUGUAAACCGCUUUUAGCAGGGAAGAAGCCUUCGGGUGACGGUACCUGCAGAAAAAGGACCGGCUAACUACGUGCCAGCAGCCGCCGUAAAAC
rnacentral:rRNA from 1 species